UAAGGUGUUCUUGAGGGUUCAUGUGACUAGCAAAGGUCUACAGCUGAAUCCCAAAGAUCCUCAGCUGAUACAGACGAUGAUUGAGAAUCUGCUGAGCGGUGUUUCACUGGGAGACACUUGUUCUUCAUAACAACCCAACAUACACAGAUCAUUGUGGAUUCACAAAUCUGACAGUGGAAACUGCAACAGAUCAACAGCUAUGGAGACUGCAGUCAUUACAGCAGGAUCAGAGUCCUUUUGAUAUAACCAAACAAGAAGCAAUACAAAACAAUAGUGUAGGAAAAGAUAACAGAGGGAAAAGCAAUACAGGAGUGCAAAAUAAAUGCAACAGUGCAAAGACGAUACAAUAAAAUAGUGCAAAUCACAGUACCAGGACAAACUGUAUAAU